GUCUUCGUUGUGCAAUUGGUUAGAGCCUUCUGCUGAUAACUCAGAGGUUGGUGGUUCAAGCCCACCUGGAGACA
rnacentral:tRNA from 1 species